CGAUCUGGCUCAGGAUGAACGCUAGCUACAGGCUUAACACAUGCAAGUCGAGGGGCAUCAUGGAAGUAGCUUGCUACUUCUGAUGGCGACCGGCGAAUGGGUGAGUAACGCGUAUCCAACCUGGCCUAUGCUCUGGGAUAGCCCUUAGAAAUGAGGAUUAAUACGAGAUGGUCUCCUUUGAUCGCCUGAGAUUAGGAGUAAAGACUUGUCGGCAUAGGAUGGGGAUGCGUUCCAUUAGAUAGUUGGCGGGUAACGGCCCACCAAGUCGAUGAUGGAUAGGGGUUCUGAGAGGAAGGUCCCCCACAUUGGUACUGAGACACGGACCAAACUCCUACGGGAGGCAGCAGUGAGGAAUAUUGGUCAAUGGGCGGAAGCCUGAACCAGCCAAGUAGCCGUGAGGGACGACUGCCCUAUGGGUUGUAAACCUCUUUUGUUUGGGAAUAAAGUCGGGCACGUGUGCCUGUUUGUAUGUACCGCAUGAAUAAGGACCGGCUAAUUCCGUGCCAGCCGCGGC
rnacentral:rRNA from 1 species